rnacentral:rRNA from 1 species
UACGAAGGGGGCUAGCGUUGCUCGGAAUCACUGGGCGUAAAGCGCACGUAGGCGGAUUGUUAAGUCAGGGGUGAAAUCCUGGAGCUCAACUCCAGAACUGCCUUUGAUACUGGCGAUCUCGAGUCCGGGAGAGGUGAGUGGAACUGCGAGUGUAGAGGUGAAAUUCGUAGAUAUUCGCAAGAACACCAGUGGCGAAGGCGCUCACUGGCCCGGUACUGACGCUGAGGUGCGAAAGCGUGGGGAG